UGGGUUGUGGCUCAGUGGUAAAGUACUCGCCUAGAAGGUGAGAGGCCCUGGGUCCGAUCCUCAGCACCACAU
rnacentral:tRNA from 1 species